UUCAUGGUCCACGGUAAAGGCCUCAGCGCGCAUGACAAACUGACUUGGACUACUGAAGCUGAAAAGGCUUUUCAGGACUUAAAGACUUCCUUAUCACAGGCUCCGACUUUGGGCCUACCGAGACCUGACUUGCCGUACACCCAGUUUAUAGACCAGAAGGACUGCUAUAUGACAUCAGUUUUGUGUCAGCCUCAUGGAGGGAAACUUAGGCCGGUUGCCUACUUCUCCUCAAAACUUAUCCUCCUUAUCCUCUCUGUUUGCGAGCAGUGGCAGCAGCUGAGAAAGCCAUUUUAGCAUCACGCGACAUUGUGGGCUACUGUGAUGUCACACUUAUGGUUCCCCAUGCUGUCUCCCAUAUCUUACAUGCCCAGAAGACUUCUCACCUCUCUGCUCAGAGAUGGCUCAGGUAUCAUACAACGUUGUUAGAACUGCCUAACGUAAUUGUCAAACGAUGCAAUGUCCUUAACCCAGCUACACUCCUCCCAACAGCAGAUGACGGGGAGCCUCAUGAUGAUGAUUUUUCCUAUAUCCUAAUUAGUAAAAUACUUAAUCAUAAGCGAGUCUCUGAUACUUUUGAUUUCUCACAAGGCCUAAAUCCACAAUUUCCACCACACUAUGUACAUCAGCCAGUGGACGAACCCGGAUUAAAAAAGGAGCAACGCCAUCUAGAUUCCCCUGGAAUGACUGGGGUAAAGGAAGAGCCUCACAAGCUUGACAGUCAGUUUACCAGAGAACAAGGAAGCAUUUUAGGGCUGCAGUCCUAGAUGAACCUCAGGAGCUGCCUGUCCCAGGAGACAUCACAGAGGAAGCACUGCCUGCGUGUGGAGUAGCAGAAGAUCAUGACUAUGCCUACUGUAUUGGCAAUCUUAGGUUUGCUGCCCCUUUAGCUGGCUUCUUGUUGUUCUUUGCCAUCAGGCACAGGUGGGAGUGAUGUUUCGACGCAGACACACAAAAGAUUUUCCAGCGAUGAUUGUAGUUGAGGUUUGUAAUUUAUUGCAGGCAAUUGUAUAAACAGAUGAACAUA